rnacentral:rRNA from 1 species
GGGUGAGUAACACGUGGAUAACCUACCUAUAAGACUUGGGAUAACUUCGGGAAACCGGAGCUAAUACCGGAUAAUAUUUUGAACCGCAUGGUUCAAAAGUGAAAGACGGUCUUGCUGUCACUUAUAGAUGGAUCCGCGCUGCAUUAGCUAGUUGGUAAGGUAACGGCUUACCAAGGCAACGAUGCAUAGCCGACCUGAGAGGGUGAUCGGCCACACUGGAACUGAGACACGGUCCAG